rnacentral:rRNA from 1 species
UUUCUCGAGCGAGUGGCGAACGGGUGAGUAACGCGUGAGGAACCUGCCUCAAAGAGGGGGACAACAGUUGGAAACGACUGCUAAUACCGCAUAAGCCCACGGUGCCGCAUGGCACAGAGGGAAAAGGAGCAAUCCGCUUUGAGAUGGCCUCGCGUCCGAUUAGCUAGUUGGUGAGGUAACGGCCCACCAAGGCAACGAUCGGUAGCCGGACUGAGAGGUUGAACGGCCACAUUGGGACUGAGACACGGCCCAGACUCCUACGGGAGGCAGCAGUGGGGAAUAUUGCACAAUGGGGGAAACCCUGAUGCAGCGACGCCGCGUGGAGGAAGAAGGUCUUCGGAUUGUAAACUCCUGUUGUUGGGGAAGAUAAUGACGGUACCCAACAAGGAAGUGACGGCUAACUACGUGCCAGCAGCCGCGGUAAAACGUAGGUCACAAGCGUUGUCCGGAAUUACUGGGUGUAAAGGGAGCGCAGGCGGGAAGACAAGUUGGAAGUGAAAUCUAUGGGCUCAACCCAUAAACUGCUUUCAAAACUGUUUUUCUUGAGUAGUGCAGAGGUAGGCGGAAUUCCCGGUGUAGCGGUGGAAUGCGUAGAUAUCGGGAGGAACACCAGUGGCGAAGGCGGCCUACUGGGCACC